CUGCGGAAGGAUCAUUGUCGAGACCCGAGAUGGCUAACCAUAAUAAACCGUCGGAAAUUUGUCAACCACAUGUGCCGCUCCGACAAGCCGCGGGGUGGAUAUCAGGAACGAUUGGCUCGNAAUCUUUCCUGCCUUCUCUUCCUAGACGCCCUUGUUUGUUUGUCGGGUGGAUGUCAUGUCGUUCUUUCUCCCCGUACAAAGGGUCGGGCAUAAAGACGGCAUGCGAACUGUUAAACCUGGCACGGUACGUGUCAAGGAUCUUUUUUGCUCCUANGGUGUUGCCCGCGUUAGUGGAAUCCACUUUCGCAUGCUUGCUGGCGGGAGCUAAUGAAAAAAGUCAUAUCUACGAUGACUCUCGGCAACGGAUAUCUAGGCUCUCGCAUCGAUGAAGAACGUAGCGAAAUGCGAUACUUGGUGUGAAUUGCAGAAUCCCGUGAACCAUCGAGUUUUUGAACGCAAGUUGCGCCCGAGACCUUUAGGUCGAGGGCACGUCUGCCUGGGCGUCAUGCCUCGUGUCGCUCCGUAUAUCCCGUUGUCUACACAUCGGGACACACGGAAGUGGAGAUUGGCUUACCGUGUCUCUCACGAUGCGGUGGGCUGAAGAAUGGGAUGUCGACGUCGCACUUGGACACGACUGGUGGUGGACGGACGAAUUUAUUUGCCGAGACCGAAGUCGUUCCCUGGAUUCGUCGACAUAUGCCGCUGCGAACGACUAUUUCGAGUAAUGGUUGUCCCUCGCGUCGCGACCCCAGGUCAGGCGGGACCACCCGCUGAGUUUAAGCAUAUCAAUAAGCGG
rnacentral:rRNA from 1 species